rnacentral:snRNA from 1 species
GCACAUAUACUGAAAGAUUAGCCUGCCCCUGCCUAAGGAUGACACACAAAUUCGUGAAAAAUUCCAUAUUUUU